CACCUGGGGCGGGCAGCCGGACCCGCCGGGCCUCCUGCGCAGUGCGAGGCGCGUCUUCGAUUCGACGGAGCGCUCCUGCGGGCGCGGGGGAGAGGGGUUGGCAGGGAGAGCCUCCGCUGUGAGGUUUUGGGGGUUGUGUGAUCCCGGAGGAGGGGCAACCGGGGACGGCCGCGAAGGUGGCAGGAUGGGGAGAGAAGGCUCCUGGGGAAACCUCAGGCCUGGCCAGGUGAGGCGAGGGGUUGAGGGACACCGGCGAGGGAAGGACAGACGGACCGGAGUGUAUUUGCCGGAUUCCUGGGUCAUCGCAGAGAAGGUAGGUCUGCGGCCAACUUUGGAGUAGAAGUCCCCGAUCGUGGGGGUGCGGCGAGGCCACUGCGGGUGGAGUGAGGGGACGGGUUUGGGAGGGGUGGAUUUGUGGUUUUCAGUCGGUUGCGGGAGCCUGGUGUGUUGUGACUACCUGGAUGAGAACCCUUGUGUCCAAGUUUUCGGCUUGUGGGUGUUCACUCCCACAGGCACAUCAGUCCCAUUACAGAAAACGGUGGUUGUAAACCUUUUCCUGGCCGGUUUCCUUUCCUUGCCUGUGUUCACACCUCUAUUCUUCAGAGAUGUCUCUACAGCAGGUAGCUUCUGAGAUGCUUUGGGGCCUGGCACGGACCAGUCCUUCCACCUCCACGGGGACUCGCUGCACCUGCUGCUUCCCCGCUGAGGUCUGGGUUCUGGCGCUGUUGGAGGCAGGGGGUCCAGGUGUGGAGGACUGGCGCCGGGCGCUUCACCUAGGCCUUGGGGAGGGAGGUUUGCUGGCAGGGCUGGACCGUAAUGGCUUCUACCUAUAAGUGAACCUGAAGAGAGGCUCUCUACUGUUCGUUUUCAGCCUCUUGGGGCACUGGACACGUGGUAGGGAGAGAGGUGUGGAAAGGCCUAUGAUGUAAUGACUUCCUGCAGUUGGGCAUCCAGAGAGAUUAACUCCCGUGCCCCUGCUGGGCCGCUGAUACCAGCGGCUCUGCUCUUCCACCUCAUCCUCCUGGCCCCAUCUCCCGAGAUAAGAAUGCAUACCAGGCUCAAGGGAGCCCUGUGCAGCUGUAGAUAUCUAUCUUUCUGUCAGUUGCUUCUAGUAACAAGUUGGACUUUUUUUUUUUUUUUUAAUUAAAAAGGUGGUUGCUUCCUCCUUCUGUCCCUUCCUUUGUCGUCUUUGGGGAGCCCUGUACUUUCUAGGUUCCAGUGGGUGUAUAAAAAAUAAGAACAGUUUGACCUUAGAUGGAGAACUGAAGCACUGGAGAGGAGCUAGUACAUGAAAAAGCUAAAGAAUUUAGUGUCAUUGACUUUUAAUUUGGUUUAAAAAAAAUCUUGAAAUAUGCCUUAAACAUUUUUUAUGGCUAGUAUAGGGAAGGGGUUGGAUACUUUAAAAGCAAAACAAGUGCUUUGAUAUUGUUCCACAAAUCUAUCUCGUGCUUGAACAAACGCUGAUAUUAUGAAUCUUAGGUUCGAUUCAGUUGUAUUGCUUUGCAAAGGAAUGCCAGUUAUGUGAUAAUAGACUAUUUAUGAAAAGGAUGAGAAUUCUGUUUCAAAGCAGUGCUGAUGUGAUACUUUUAAAAAUUGAGUUUUCAAGUGGAUAGCAGGGGUCAGUCUCUAUAGUGUUAGGAAGGGAUGAAUUUGUGGGAUCUGAGAAGAUGGAUUGGGUGAGGUGUGGAGUCUUUUCCAAAUUUCUCACACUUGAAAUUUAGUCCUACAUAUUUUGGAUUUGGUGCAGAGAAUCUGUUAGUUAAAAGUUAGCUUUAAGUUAGUCAGAAAGUUAACAUAGCAAGGGUUUUCACCUUUUUUAUGAUUUUUAAGAUUAUGACAGUAAUUUUAACACCACAAAUAAUAUUUCUUGCAUCGUGUUUGUGGUUAAAGAUAAUACCAGUUUAUGGUAUUUGAAACUUUUUUUUUUUUAAGAUUUAUGUGGGUAAGUGUGGCCACCAAAAAUAGCCAUGAAUUGAUACUGAAUUAAUUAUAUUUUCAUAUAGCUUACAGGAUCUGCAAUAGAGAUUUGGGGCCUAGUCUUAAACUUUGUGGUUUUAUAUCUUAACUAUUUUUGGUCUCAUGGUUUGUUUUUUCCUUCUCUGCUAUCUCAUUUUUCUUUAAAAUCUUAUGAAGCAUUGUAAAUUGAAACUGCCCAGCAGUAAUAUGUUUAAUACAGGGUGCAUAUUUUAUGAAUAUUUUAUCUUUAAAAUUUUACACCAGGUCCAUUUCUGAUUAUCACAUGAUAACUAAUCCUUGAAGACUAUAGAGAUAUAAUUGAGUUAAGAGUUUUUGCAAGAUGACCUUUACUAAAAGAUGCAGCCAUGCAGGGACUUCCAAAUCUUUGAUGAUGGAGAAGGCCCUUUGAAACUGGGGCUGCUGGUUUCACAUUCCGAUUAUGACUAAUAGCCAAGCUUUUUUGGUGCUUGUGGUUUAGUGGAGGUGGAAGUAGAGGGAAAAGGGAGAGGUCAGGAGCUAAGCGUGACCUAUUUCUAUGCAUCCAAGUUUCAGGAGUUGAGUCCUAUCAUGAUUAGUCAUUUGGAAGCAGGUGUGUGCUUUUAAACCACACUACUUUCAUUCUGAGUUUUACAUUCAGGUUUUUAACUUCUAAAAAUGUCUAGAAUUCAGGUUAACCUCUCCUGGUCAUGUGUGCACACAGGCAUAGUGUGCAGUGUCUAGGCCUUACUUCUUUUGUAGCUUUUUGGGCCUUUGUAUUAUGAGAUCUUGUAACCAGAAUUAUCACCCUAAGAGCAUAGAGCAAAUUAGAAAAGAGGCCUUAGCGAUCAGAAUCGAGACCAGUGAAUCAAAGCCCUGGUUGCAUGUAAGAAUUAUCUGGGAGCUUUUAAAAAAUAACAGUACCCAAUGAACAUGAUUUAAUUGGGCCGAUGUGUGGGUAUUGGUUGGUGAGGUUGUUUUUAUUUUUGAAGUUUCUUAGGUGAUUCUAAUGUACAGCCAGGAUGAGGUUUGCUGAUCUAGUUCAGUCCCCUUAUUUUAUAGGUGAAGAUCUUGAUUCUUCAGGUUAAUGACUUUACUAAGAUCACACAGCUGGUUAGUACAGAGAUAAUUAGCAGCCUGUGGGUCUAGAGAUCUUUAUCACACUAUUUUUUUCUUUUUAAAUUGAUCCUUUCUAAAGGUUAUGUACUAAGCACUGGGUAGUCUUAGAUAAGUAGAAGUUGUUUUCCUGAAAAGCAUAUUUGUUUCUCCAUCUAAAAAUUCUUGGUUAUUAUUUCAGCAUUGGGAAGAUGAAUGAUUAUUGGUAGAGGCUGAGUGAAUACACAGUGUCUGUAUAGCUGUCUGGUGCCUAUCAGGAAGGGUACUUAGGAACUGUGAAGUGAGGAAGGUGGCAAAAAAGGAGCAUUUUAACAAAAGGAGGAAGCUCUUGGUUAACUUGAAUUUGUCAGAUGCAAACCGUGCCAGGGAGAAAGGUGAUAGCUAUCUCCCAGGUUCCCUUACCUCGGGCAUUAAAGUAGAAAUGAAUAAUCAGAUGUGGUUAAAGGGGGAAAAGGUUACAUUUCCUUUAACUCAGAUUAAGCUUACUUGCAGUGCACCCUAAUUGAGCUGGUGAGGUCUCUGUUUCCUCCUGUCUCAGGCAGACCUCUAGAACUCCAGGGUUUACCUGGUGAGGCCCAUUUUUCACUGAUUCUCCUGCACACACCCACUCAUCUGUGCUUCCCAUGGGUCAGGGCACAAUAACGUUAGGCGGCUAUGAGUUUUUGUGGUGGUUCCUACAACUUCACAAAUGUGAGAGGACUUCUGCUGCUGCAAGUGACCGAGUCUUCCUUUGUGUGAGAAUGUGUCCUCUUGCCGAUUCUUCCCAAGGAUGAAAGAUGAUAGCUGGCCCGCCACGUGGUACUUGCUCCCGUCCUUACAGUUCUAGCUCUUCAGAUGAAUGCACCCAGUUCCUGUUCACAUACUGUAGUUUUUAAAGAUGUUAUUUUAACUGCAACUUUGAUGUUUAAAAAUAUUUUUUUCAACAAUUUCAAAACAACAGAGGCAUAAUAAUUUCACAUUGGCCUCUGAUUUUGACCCCAGUCACCUUUUGGACUAACUCAUUAAAGGGCCCGUUAGGGUUGUGCUGUACGAGGAAUCUGUCUUCACCUUGGCCCCUGUUGCUGAAAUACUGUUUUGUAAUUUCCUUCGGCAGUACUGUCUUCGUCAGUGAUUCUCAACUAACAUACUUCCUCUUUCUACAGUGGCAGUACGCUAGGGGGACUGUUUUUCUUCUUUUUCAAAGCUGUGUCAUCGACGUAAGAGGUGAAGAAAUUGGCCAUUUCAGACUUUGAUCUGUGAGCCCCAUGUAGCAGAGAGGCUCUUAUAAAAAGGAGUUAAGUGUUUUGAUAUGUUUAUCUCCUUCUUUGAAAAUGAAAUGAAACUAUGCAGACUGAUUUUUAGUUUUUAGGAGGGUUCUAUUUUAAGGGAAUGAUACCAUAGAAGAACAUCUGUAGUUAAACUUUUUAAUACUCUACUUAUGAUGCUUACUUAAAAGCAGCACGAUAUUUUUAUUUGGGAAAUUUGUGAAGAAGCUUUGUCCCGCUAAAAAAAAUCAUUUACCUGAUUUGCAAAAAUUUAGCAGACACUGUUCAUCUAAAGAGCUUUAUAAAAAUGCAAGGAUAAGACUGUUUAAGCCGGUGCCUUCUGAGGAGAUACCCAGCUUACCCCUUGCUGAUCAGUUUCUGGAUGACCUGGGCUGGAGAGAACGGAAUUUAUUUCGUUUUCAUGCUCUUUUGCCUUGUCUGUGAGGAACAGGCUCAAUCCUAUUUCUGACCCUCGUUUUUCUCCUCACCUUUUCCUGUAUCACAAAUGGUGGAGGAGUCCUGAGGGCCACUUGGACUUUUUGCUGCUAUAAAAAGAGCUGGGGAUGACAUAUAUGCAGGUGGGUUGUAUCAGUGGAUGAUGCAGCUGGUGCAGAGUGAGUGAGUAAAAGACCGAAAAGAGAAAACCCUUUUUACUCACUUGCAUCUCAUGCCAUUUCAUUCAUUCAGCAAAUAUUUAUCAAAGGCAUACAGUGUGCAGGGUGUUCUGCCGGGCCCAGGGAUGUAGUGGUAACUCAAGGCAGAUAAGGUUCCAGUUCACAGGAGUUUGUGUUCUCUUGGGGGAAGACAGAAAAUAAACAUGCAAAUCUGUGCCCUGUAAACUUGUCAUCAUUGCCCGUUCUCUUUGCCUUUUUGCCAUCUGUAUUUCUGCUUUCCUUAGUGCUUUGGCUCUCUGCAGAGAAGUCACCAGCAAAUAGCAAAGUGGAUGUUGGGCCCUGGCUUGGAGCUGGCCUUUAGCUCUCUGCAGAUCAUAAUUUUCAACUUGCUUUGGAGAUGCAGGGCCACUGUCACAUGGCUCCUGUAGUUGGGAUCUUUUGGAGAGAAGCUGGGAUUAGAGCACACUGGUGGCCCUGGACUCAUCUUGGGCCCCCAGUUCUGUCUUGUGGGGCCACGAUAUAGGACCAGCCUCUGGAGUGGAUGUGGAGCCUUGAUGCAGUCAAAUUGUCUGCAUGACUUCUUGUCUCAAAUUAAAAACUAAAUGAAGUCUUAGGGAUUAUCUAAAUACUUCAUUUUGCAAGUAAGGAAACAGGCAGGAGCAUGUGAGUGGCUAGCUCAGGGACCCACAGCUAGCAGGGGUGGAGUUAAAUGUGUCCGUGUGAGCCCAGGGCACCAGUGUUCUGUAAUGUCUGUUGCUAACCAUUGUGGUUUCACAGCUGGUCGAGUCAGUGCCUCCAUUUCUGCAAAGUCUUACUUCAUUUUCUCUCCUCUGCUCCCCUCCCCCAUCCUCUAGAUUGGCUGGCCAGCAGGAGAGUAGCUGUGUUUCUCUUUUUGCAUUCUCUAUCAGCACUCUCAGCUCACCUUGCUGGAAAAGCCUAUUCUCUGAACCUCGCCCUACCCUGCUCACCUCCUGACUUCUGUCUGUUCCUUUUGUCAUUUUUCUGUGACUCCUAUAUAUUCUCAAGAACAGUGUAAAAACCUUGAAAGCAAGGAAGGUACCUACCAGACAAAAAGCAUUUCUGAUAACUUGGAGCUGCUUUGGGGCUGAUUAUGUCCUCAGCCCAUGAGCUUAGCCUUGUUCUGGGACAGUGAUACUGAAAGGGGAUGAUGUGACUCAGGAGUGGAGUGAUGGCAUGUGUAGAAUCUUUUGGAUACUUAUAGCUACAAAGGUGGCCCAGACCUCCUAGUGUUGGUAUUGAUACGAUGUCAUGUAAUUAUGAAAUGGUGCUGUAGUAUCUAAGGCAUUUCUUACAGUGUCUUGUUUCCUAGUGUCGAAGUCCCUACAAACUUCAUCAGUGCCAGGUGUUACCCAUCACAGAAAUGGAGAGAAACCUGAUCUUGGGAUUACCUUUCCUGAAGAGAAAGUUGAAGUCAUGUUUUCCUUUUGUGUGUGGACCCUGCUUUAUGCAGCAUCAGUAUUACUGUCUAGAAAGAAUCACCAAAUAUACAUAUCCACUUCAGAAGCAGAGCUCUGGUGUAAAACUAAGUUGUCCAUAAUGUUCUGCAUUUGCAGGUGUAAGUCUCAGAUGCACUUGAAGUUUUACAUAAUGGAUUGGUAAAUAACAAGUCACAGAUGAAGAAAGAAGAGAUAGUGAGCAGUCUGAGCUGGACCUGUCCAGGGCCAGUCUGCCUGUCUUCUGAGAUGGUUUUCUGAAUAGGUGUUUUGGCUACUGAUUAUCAUGGAAAACCCCAAUUCUGAUCAAAUCAGUGUCCAGACAGGUUCAGCAUCUGUCACCAUUUUAUUUUGACCGAACGACUUCCAUUUCUCAGUAUUACAGUUUCCCCAGUUGGAAAAAGAAGUAAAAUAGCAAGCAUCUGUAGAAUAUUGUGAUGUAUCACUCCUUUCUGGUGAAAUAAAAAUGUAUGGAGUAUGCUUCAAGCUGGGCUUUUCUCCCCCCGCAGAAUGUGUAUUUUCACUUGGACCUUUUUGGGAGAUUUUAAUCCUGAGACUUUUUCUCUGCAGUGUGUCAGUCCUUACUAUGAAAUUACGGUACAGAGUCAAGUAGAUGAAGUUUUCUGGUGGCCUGUGGUACUUGCACUCAUUUGGUCCUCUCAUAAUUGUGUGUGGUGAAGAAGCCAGCUUAUCUUCUGGGAGCUCACCAUGCCUGGGUAUCCAAAUGCACCCCCAUUCUGCAAUGGAGAGAAUUUUGUUGGUUUCUGCCAAGCAUCAGCAUGAAUCAGCUGUGGUCCUUCACUCUUGAAAACAUGUGAAUGUUCAUCUGUACCUGAGAGCAAGCAAGUGUGUCAAGAUCAGUGGGUUCUGUGUUUUUGUGCCCUUUUGAUUGGAGACUCUUGAUAUUUUCCAAGACGUCGCUUUCCUGUCCAGUGACUGGUGUCCUUAUGAGGAGAGGAGAGGACAUGGUAGAUGCAGAGAAGGCUACGUGAACGCCACGGCAGAAGUUGGAGCAAUGCAGUUACAAGCCAAAGAGCACCAGAUUGCUGGGGGACCCCGGAAGCUGGGCAGAUGCCAGGCAGGACCCUCCACUGGAGCCUUCAGAGGGAGCAUGGUGCUGCCCACACCUUGAUUCUGGACUUCUAGCCUCCAGCACUGAGAGAGAAUAAGUUUUUAUUGUUUGAAGCCCCUAAGUUUGUAGUAAUUUGUCAUGAUAGCCUUAGGAAACACACAGGAGCACAGGGAUGGAAGAGAGGAACAUGAAGGGUUGCAGAUAGAGGAGAAGAGGAAGAGAAGGUUUUAUUUUAUUUUUAAAAUUGAGAUAUAAUUGACAUAACAUUAUUAGUGUCAAGUGUACAACAUAAUGAUUUGGUAUUUAUACAUGUUACAAAAUGAUCAUCACUCUAAGUCUAGUUUAAACAUUCUUCUUUUUUUUUCUUGUAUUGAGAACUUUUUAAGAUUUACUCUCUGAGCAACUUUCAGAUACCUUGGUAUUAACUGUAUUCACCAAGCUGUAUAUUGCAUCCCCAGGACUGACUUAUUUUGUAAUUGGAAGUUUGUCUCUUUUGACCCACUUCACCCAUUUUGCCCUCUCCCUCCGAAGUUUUAUUUAGAUUAAAAUUAAAAUGUUAAUCACUCCUGGGCUACUUUCUGGUAACUUAAAUUUCUUCGUUCUUCAUCCUGCUAUGAGGCACGGAAGGGAGGUGUGAAUUCCCCUGAUUUCCCAGUGAGAGCUGCUACAGAGGUCCUCGCGCCCUCUGUUGAGCGUGCAUCCUGGACGCCCUCCCUAACCCUCCCAUUCUGCUUACCCAGUUUCUACUUCUUGGCCUAUUUCGUGAAGCCGGUGGAAUGGCUGUACUUGGGGAGUGUGGACUUGAGGUUUAAGGCCAAGGUCUAGCUGAGGGCUUUGGUCUAGGAUAGUCAGUCUUUCAGGGAGGGAGCAGCCUGGGUCCUCAGUGGAAGGAGAGGGUUGAAGAAUUCUCUCUUCCCAAUCCCAGGCUUGAGAAGAUAGAGCCCCAUCAGGUUCACUGCCGUCCAUGGCGGCAGUGAGGAUAAUCCGAAUCUCUCUGGAGUCUCCUUGGCUCCUCCUGUGCUUCGUUCAAGCCCUUUCAAAGUGUCAGCCAACACUCUGGAGCCUUCAGGCUCCCAUCCCUGCUGUAUACAUUUAUGUCCGCAAAACCCAGCCAUCCUGAAGGAGCAUAGAGUGGUAGUCCUCGUCAAAGUAGCAGCAGGUGUUUUCUAGGUACCGUGAAGGUGUUUGGAUUGAAUUGUUCAGAAGUAUUUCAGAAUUAGAAUUGCAUGUGUUUAUGCUCAUAUUUUGAAAUAGUAUUUUGGGAAAAGGGAGCCAGGAUUAUAAAUCAAUUGGAAACACAGUUUGGUUUUUACAAUAAAAAGAGGAGUUGACACAAGAUAUUCUGAAGUCUAGUUAUAAUAAUAAUAAUAGUAGCUAUGAUUUAUUGAAUACUAUCAUAUGCCAAUUAUGUAGAUUUUUUUACAUCUAAUAUUGAUCCUACAUGUUAAGCAUUUUAAGUAUAAACCCAAUUUAGAGACAAGAAAAUGGUUCAGAGAAGUUUAAUUGCUUGGGAUUCAGAGGAAGGCUUCUUUGAACGUCAGCCUUUUCUGCUAUGCUUUGCUGCCUCCUGAGUGUGGUGGGACUUUGCGUUGGGGUGAGUACAACAAUAAAAUUAAAUAGCUGCCAUUGAAAAAGUUGCUACUAUAUGCUGCAUUCUUUGUGUAUAUUACCAUCAAUCCUUGAUGUUAAUCUUUCAGAAUGAUGUCUUGAAUGUUUAUCUUCUGAACUGUGGCUGACUCUGGGUAACUGAUACCUCUCUGUGUUGAGGGGGGAGUAGACAUAGACCCAUGAUUUAGGCUCCUGCCCAUGAUUUUGCCUGAGCAAAUAAUUUUAAGAAUCCAAUCAGUGCCUGGGCUCUUAGUGGAGCAGUUUAAUUUGGGGAUUUCUAUUUCUGUUUGGGUGCUGCCUUAGUAAACCACUGUUUAACCAUGGUUUACUAUGGGUCAGAUAGUGUACUAGUGUUCAGAACUAAUAGGGUGAUACCAUAGUGUGUGGAAAAUCCUUAGGGCUAGGCUAUUAUCUCUGAGAAAUUUCCGCCUUGGGAGAACAGGGUAUAUCUGUGCUUCUAUGGGCUUCAGGUAGGUAAAUGGAUGGAGAUAAUACCACCAGGAGAAAUGGAAUUCAGGGAGAAAAAAGACAUUUAUAAAAGGUUUCUGGCAGAAGUGUGGUCGAAGCCCAAUCAGAUCUCAAAAUUAAAGGUAUUAAAGCAUAUUUUGUGAGGUGGUUGACCCUUUCCAGUGCAGUUACUAACAGGUUUAAAGGCAAGAUAGACACAGAAAAUGUUGCAAAAUGCAAGCUGCUGGCCAGGUUAAAGGGUUUAUCUUAUUAAGGCAUUUACUGCUUUUGUCUUCAAGGUAGAAUAUGUAUGAGUAGGACCUAAAAUGAUGGUUUUAAUUGGCCACAGGAAUACAGCACCCAUGUGCCCUGAGAUAAAAUGUGGCUUGCAGAACACUAAUCCCAUGUGUGUGUUGGAAAAAAUUUUAGAACUCUCAGUUUCACAGUAAAGAUAGGUGAGUAGUGUCUGGAAAGUGUCCAGAAGAUAGACUGAAACCCUGUGAUAAAUGUGGAGCAGGCAGAAUGGCUCUGCCUGAUAACUGAGUGAGGCCAGGGUAUGGGGUGUGGUGGGGCCAAAGGCAGUUACAAAGAAGGUGGCCUUGGCCUCUGUGGACUUUUAAAAGUACAACUCUGGGUAUAAACCUGAAGUUGAAGGAGGGCAUAGAAUUACAUCCAAUACAGCUUGUUAGAUGUCUCCUUGAAAAUUAGUAUUACAUUAAAAAGAUCAAAUGGAGAGUUAAGCCAUUAAUUCACACAAUUCAAAUCUCAGAACUGCUCCCCCAGCCAAAGUGUUGUAAUAAUUAAUUUCUAAAAAAAUGAUAGUUCUUUCAUCAUAAAUUAUCUAAAUAAUUGCCUCAGUUCCAUAUUUCACAUUAAGUUUGGCAGAAUGAUGUUUAAAGCUUCCUCUCCUUUCUCUUUUUAGUUUUCACUUCUAUUUUACUUGAUUUUUUUUUAAUGCAGUUUUACUUCUAAUGCUGUAAUGGUUUCAUAAAGUAAAAACACUCUCUUGACAUCUCUCCAUUAGAACUUCUUGUUGGUAAAUUCCUUUAAAAUUCUUCCUAAUUUAAAAGUCAGUUUUUGCUGUUCAUAUCUUCUAGAAUUUUUGCUGUGUAUGAUAGCUGGUCUGGACUAGCUAUUCAUUUCCAAUCAAGGACUUGUUAAUUUCACCCAUCAUACGUUUGUAUCUUGGUCUGUAUUUGAGUACAUUGGGUUUUUUUUUUUCUCCUUUUUUCCCCAGCUGGUAGAAUGAAAAGGAACAUGCCUUUAUUCACUAGUUAUUUGUCAGAACAGUCCAAUUAGCAGCAUUAAUUUGCCAUUUAUGAGUAUACCUAUGAUUAUAAAUAAACAGUGACCCACAGACUACAUUUUAAGCAAGGCAACUUUCUUUUUUUAAGUAAAAAUUGACACUGAGCCCCAGACAUUCCUGUGAAUUUUUUUUUAAGAACAAUGAUCAGUUAUUUUGGGGGGCAUCGUUUGUGUAAUCCUGAGAAACCGGAAUGGGCCUUAGAAAUGUUAUGGGCCCGACUCUUUCAAAGUUGUCUUCCUGAUGACACAGGUGUGAAUGUGCUUGCUUCAGCAGAGUUGAGCUCUUAAGCUCCUGAUAGGCAGCUUCCUAGGUGAGCUGGUAUACUGUUUCUUGAAAUUAGUGGCCUCAAUCAGGCCUUCUGUCUCCAGCCCUGUCCAGUACAGAUAAGCUUACUGCCUCCUCUUUGAAUAGAUGUAUGCCCUGUGCUCAACGGAAUUUUCUAAAUCAGUCCUGUUUAGUCUCCUUCCUUUACAUGAAAGAUCCUUUUUUUCCAGGCUGGAAGUCUAGGUGAUCUGGGCCACAUGUUAGGCUUCACCACAGUCAACCUUCAUGUCAAUCGCGAAGGUGAAAUUUGGCAUCCGAUUAUACUGCUCGGCUUACUGGGUCUUAGUUCCCUUAUCAGAGAUUGAACCCCGGGCCCUCAGCAGUGAAAGCAUGGAGUCCUGACUACUGGACCAUAGGGGAAAUUCCCUGGCAUCUGACUGUAGGCAUCUUUUAGUAGGUGUUCUUUGGGAGGAGGUGAGAGGUUUAUUCUGAUGAUCUCAUAAUAUCGGGGAAUGCUUCAAGUUAACUUGUGGGUAGUCAGUGCUGAAUUAAGUAAAGCACCAUGUGUCAAAUUAGGAGAGCUGACUUGUGGUGGGAUGGGCUCCCUGGUGCUCAGCUGCAAAGAACCCACCUGCCAAUGCAGGAGACACAGGUUCAACCCCUGGGUCGGGAAGAUCCCCUGGAGAAGGAAAUGGCAACCCAGUCAGGUAUUCUUGCCUGGGAAAUCCCAUGGACAGAGUAGCCUGGCAGUCUGCAGUUCAUGGGGUCAUCAAGAGUUGGACACAGCUGAGUGACUGAACAACAACUUGAGGUAGUGAAAACUACCAUCCUCCAAAUUGAUUUUUAACAUAAUGACUUCACAAAUGAAUGUUUUUAUCAAAAAUUACCAUGCUCGUUUUUAAGAUGCAUAUUUUCCCACUUCUUGGUUUUCUAAUCACAUCAGGGCUUUAAACUGAUGGAUAAGUUUUGACUGUUAACACAGUGGGAUAACAUCUGGGGUUUUCUCUCUGGGCUCCCUGUGUUUGUCCUGCUGUGAGCACAGAUAAUUUUCACCUGACUUCUGUCUGUGUUACCUGAGCUGAGGUUCCUGCUGUGUCCACUGACCAGCAACACUGUGUUCUUCUCACCGCUUUGUUUUGUGUUCAUCAUUGAAUCUUAAACGGGAUCAUAAAGCUUUCUCAUAUGUCUUUUCUAGCUGUUACCUCAUGCUUCUGUGCUUAGUCAAGAAGGAAGAGAAGAAAAUAACUCUAUCUUGGUUUUAUCAUCUGCAUCACAUGAUUUUACAACUUUGAAAACUCACUUGUCAGUGUGGUUGCU